CGCCCGUCGCUCCUACCGAUUGGGUGUGCUGGUGAAGUGUUCGGAUUGGCGACCGCGGGCGGUUUCCGCCCUCGGCCGCCGAGAAGUUCAUUAAACCCUCCCACCUAGAGGAAGUAAAAGUCGUAACAAGGUUUCC
rnacentral:rRNA from 1 species